CCGGGCCGGAAGUCGGCGAGUUCCCGGGCGUGUGUCGGUGUCUGUGUCUCGUAUCGGCGCGCGGCCCGGGACGGUCGCGGGGGAUUCCCGUCCGUAGGCGUCACCACUGUCACCACCAUCACCCACGGAGCCGCUUCCAGAGCGCGGGAGACCCGGCCCUUCGCCGGGCAUUGAAGAUGUUGCCCCUGUCCAUCAAGGACGAUGAAUACAAACCACCCAAGUUCAAUCUGUUGGGCAAGAUCUCAGGCUGGUUUAGGUCGAUCCUGUCGGACAAGACGUCUCGGAACCUGUUCUUCUUCCUGUGCCUGAACCUCUCUUUCGCUUUUGUUGAACUCCUCUACGGCAUCUGGAGCAACUGCUUAGGGCUGAUUUCCGACUCUUUUCACAUGUUUUUCGAUAGCACUGCCAUUUUGGCUGGGUUGGCAGCGUCUGUUAUUUCGAAAUGGAGAGAUAAUGAUGCUUUCUCUUAUGGGUAUGUCAGAGCGGAAGUGCUGGCUGGCUUUGUCAAUGGGCUGUUUUUGAUCUUCACUGCCUUUUUUAUUUUCUCAGAAGGAGUUGAGAGAGCGCUGGCGCCGCCCGACGUGCACCACGAGCGACUGCUGCUGGUCUCCGUCCUCGGGUUCGUGGUGAACCUGGUGGGGAUAUUCGUGUUCCAGCACGGAGGCCACGGGCACUCGCACGGCUCUGGCCAUGAACACAGCCAUUCCCUCUUUAACGGUGCUCUGGACCAGGCCCACGGCCACGGGGACCAUUGCCACAGUCCGGAACUGAAACACGGUGCUGCGCACAGCCACGACCACGCGCACAGCCACGACCACGGACACUUCCACUCCCACGCCCACGAUGGUCCCUCCUUCAAACAGACAGCAGGACCCAGCAGACAGAUUCUACAAGGUGUGUUCCUGCACAUUCUAGCAGACACGCUGGGGAGCAUCGGGGUGAUCGCGUCCGCCAUCCUGAUGCAGAACUUUGGUCUGAUGAUUGCAGACCCUAUUUGCUCCAUCCUCAUAGCCAUGCUCAUCGUCGUGAGUGUCAUCCCUCUCCUGCGGGAGUCGGUGGGCGUGCUGAUGCAGCGGACGCCGCCGCAGCUGGAGGGCGCCCUGCCGCAGUGCUACCAGCGGGUGCAGCACUUACAAGGAGUCUACAGUUUACAAGAACAGCACUUCUGGACCUUAUGUUCUGACGUGUACGUCGGGACCUUGAAGUUAGUAGUAGCACCUGACGCUGACACCAGGUGGAUUUUAAGCCAAACACAUAAUAUUUUUACUCAGGCCGGAGUGAGACAGCUUUACGUACAGAUCGACUUCGCAGCCAUGUAAGGAGCGAAAAACUGCUGCUUUGGGGACCGCGUUUUUCUGGUACUGUACAAUCCCGAACGUUGUACCCAGCUUUCCAAGACAGGUCGUCACUACAGCGCCAGCCCCAGGUAGACCAGAACACCCGGUCAGCACUACGCGGGUGGUCACUGCUAGGGGACCAGGGCGCGGACCCUCCCCUGGACUUGGGUCCGGCCCUGUGCUCUCCCCUCCGCACCAUUGUGAUUUCUGAGAUUCUGGCUUUGUCCCAGGGUGUUGCUUUUUGUUUGUUUCUCCUUUUUCUUUUUUUGUUUCAAAUGUCCUCACGCCACCCCUCCUCUUGGCCAGUAAGAAAUUCAGAUUGUGGGCCUCCAGUUGUCUGGAUCGUCUCCACUGAGGCUGCUGGAAACUGCUGCUCUCAUUCCCACAAAACCAGUGUUCUUAAAAAAAAAAAGAGAGCCGGGAAUCUGUUUUAUAUGUAAUGUCACACUCGCUGACGUUCUUCGGUGUAAUCACAUGUUUGUAAAAUUGUUUGUACCUUGCAAACUUAUGAACCAAACCAUAUUGGGUUUUCAAAGUGCCUUCGCCUCAGAAAAUGUCUGCCAGCAUCCAAGGUCAUGUAUGUUUUUCUAAGUGGAUAUUCUGUAAUCUGCACAAAAUAAGACUCUAGUUAGCGGUGUGUACAGUCUGUCUUUCUGUGAACUUCCAGCAGAGGUUUAGAUAUAGGGAAAGUUUCCGUUCAUUGCUUUAUCUCAUCAAAAAAAUAAAAGGUGAUUUUUUUUUUUUUGCUUUUUAAAUCAGAUUCAAUAAUUACAUUAAAUUAUUUUGUGAACUGUGUUUUCAAAACUUUGCAAAUGCAUCUGUUUUAGAGAGUUGUUUUGACUUACUCCACACAUGUGCCAGGUUCCAGAUUUCUACAACAGCUACUGUGUCUGUGACAAACUUUCCCAUGUCUGUCCUUGCUGCUUUCUGUGGGUUUUGUUAAUGAAGGGAGCAGGAUUUUAUGAAUGGAGUGAAGACAGCAAUGAUGAUGAUGUGUCAUUUUGCUUCUCCAUUCUUCCAAUGAUGUCACACGCCGGGCUUGCUUGUGCGGGCCUCACACAGACAACCAGAGCUGCAUGUUCCUAUGCUGGGACUGUGGACGCACAAGGAAACGUGGGAACAGAACGCCCCCUAACACAGCAUCUCAGGACUCACAAAUAAGUUCAUUUCUAGGUUCCUGUGUGUGAAAAGCAGAAUUGCAAUUGGAGAUGACAGGUGCUCAACCAGGCCACUUACACAUUCCGUCUAAUGAGAUGCUGAUGUGGUUGGCGUUCCCAUCAUACUUCCUUGUCACGGUGCUUCUUCCCUUGCGACUUAGCAGGUUGCAAACUGCAGGAUGGAAAUGGCUGUUUAGACUGUAGAUUGAGAAGCAGCACUUUCCCAUGGAUGCGGCAGACAUUGCUGUUGGUUUUGUCUAAGUUCUAGCGUGUCCUUUUCCCUGUCUCUGACCCAUGAUCUGUGAACGACGCUGUGAGGAGGACUAGACUGCGCCCUUCCUGUCUUUCUGAGCUGCCCGCACCAUGGGCUGCCGACUGUCCCCUUUCUGCUGACUGCCAGGCGGUGCCAGCGCUGAGAACCCUGUGGUUGACUGUGCCGAGCCGAAACCAUUGUUGCGCUGUCGGAGGGGAGGUAUAAAGGGCACGUCCUGAGAAUGGCACUGCUGCUCCCGAAUAGUGUGAGGAGCAUCACUGAGAAGCCUGGCUGGCCUCGGGGGGUAGGUGUAUGCCAGGAAGGACAGCCAGGCGAAGGCGGGGAUUUGGGAUGUGCGCCCUUAGAAACCAAUUGUGCGUGAUUGUAUUGCUAUUUCCCAUCUGGUGAGAAUAUCUGCAGUGGCCUGUAAAAGGUACGAGUGCGUUCUGAGGGUCCAGUUCUGCCUUUCGCUGAGCCCUCUGUUCCUAGUGAAGUUUUGUGCAAGUAGUAGCACCAACAACACCCUCAACACAGAGGCACGAGGGUGGCUUUCCCUUCAAUGAGGCAGCGAAUAGAGAGUACCAGUGACGGGAAAGUCUAAUUUGCACCUGCCACCAGAGGUGGUCAGGUUGGCACAAACAGUUAUGCUGGAAUGAAAUGCCUCUAAACGUGUGUGUGCAGCCGUAAGAAAUCAGCGAGAAAAAGCAACCUUUCCUCACUCUUAGGAACUGCUUUGUCUCAUCAGUGUUGUUGGCCCAGAUGUAUCGCUAAAGUAGCCCAUUUCACUGAGGAAGACUGCUUGAUUAUUGUUAUAAAAUACACUCAGAAUAUCCCUCUUGUUGGGCUAACCUUUGGGGGGGAAUCUCUGAGUAUCUAGUACAACUUUGCCAAUAUUUUAAAAACCAAAAUAUUCUCGGAGGACAAAUUUCUACUUACCUUGCCAAGUAAGCUUCCCCAAGCGGAAAUAUCCACACUAGUUUUGUGUUAAGUCUAGAUUGUACUGCUCAAGAGGAAGGGCUUGCCCAACUCUGUGCAGCUCCCUUACCUGGCCGAGUCCCUGCGUAGGAGGGGCCGCGUGUAAAUGUAGCUGCGUGUUCCCCACGGCCAUCCUCACGGUCCCCCCCACCGCCUUCAGCAGGGGCCUGAGGCACUGGGGUUCCCUCGCUUCCAGGCCUCGGCAUUGAUGCCAGUAACCCAAAUACUGUGACUUCUGUGCACUUUGUAAAGCAGCCAAUCAUUGACCCCAGAUGCAUUGGCUGGAGUCUGCUGAUGUUUUUCCUACUAUAACCCAUUUUAUAGAUUGUUAACAUGAGCAAAAGUAUUUCAUUGCUUCACACAGAAUCUGACAUCUAAGGCGCCCGUCCUUCGAAGCAGUCUGUUCUACCUCUCAUUUUCCAGAUGAGAAUGUCAAGCCCCCAAAAGCUGCCUUUCAUUCUAGGUCACAGAGAUGAGUAGCGGCAGAGCCAAUAGAACCCGGGCCUUCUGACUCCAGGUCAAGAGCUUUCCACCCCCCUGUGCCACCUCCUUGCGGGGUAGCUGCCUUUCUGUCAGUGGGACAAACAAGCCUUGUAAAUAAAGGACCUCGCCCUCCAUUUUUGGUAAUGAACGCACUUUAUAAAUGGAGUUUUAGCGUCUUACUUUUCAUACCUAAUUAUGAGGUUUAGAAUAGUAUUUCUGUAGUAUCCUUUAUGGAAGAUAAAAUUAAGUAUUUUUACUUUUUUAUUCUUUGUGAAGCCAGUUUCUGAUUAAAAAAUGUUUUUUGAUGACAUCUGUGUAUUGGAUGCUUCUAACAUGAGUGGGUUCUGUUAACUUGCCAAGGCUAACCCAGUGGAAGGAUUGCUUCGUUUCUGCUCGGUGUGCAUUCUGGGAACUCGUCCUCUCAGCCUCAGGUCCUGCCUUUCCGCUUGCUCCUCUAGCACGCGGUCGCUGCAGAGCCUAGGAUCGCUGCACGCUGUUCCCAGAGCCACACACAUUGGGCCUUACAUGUUGUCUAGAACAAAAUCGAUGUAAUUCAGGAGGGUAAAAUCCUGAACUCUUACCUGAAUCCCAAAUGCUAAACUGCUACUUUCAAUUCUUCAUAAAAGCAUUACCUUGA